rnacentral:rRNA from 1 species
UGUCUUGUUAACUUAUUUGUAUGCUAAAAAUUUAUAUUUGAAAAAUAAUUUAUAAUAAUAGUUGAUAGUAAUUGUUAAUGAAUAAAAUUUUAUGACUAUAGUGGAAAGUACUGUGAAGGAAAGAUUUAAUUAAUUAAAGAGAAAAAAAGUAGAAGUUAAGGCUUGUACCUUGGGUAUCAGGGAUAAUUAAUAUAUUAUUAAUUAUUAUUAAGUAUCUCGAAAUAAAAAUAGUUAAUUUUAUAAUAAAGUUUUUAUAACAUAAAAAUUUUUAAUAUAAAGUUAGAAAUGAAAUGUUAAUCGAGUUUUAUAAUAUCUGGUUCCUUAAAAAAUAAAUUUAAUUUAGGCUUUAUGGGUAAUAAAUGUAAAGAAAGAAAAUAGAAGGGAAAAGCUUUUUAUUUAAGAAAUAGUUAGAAUAGAAAUAAUUGAAUUAUCUAGGCUUAAGAGUAGCUAUGUUAAUAAAGUGUUUUAACUAAAAUUUAUAAUUAAUAUUAUUUUUAUUAAUCUUUAAAUGUUAUAUUAGGGAUUUAUUUUUAAUUUUAUAUAAUAAAUUAUGAUGGUUUUAUUAGUAGGAGUUUUUAUUUAAAUAAUAAGUUAAAUAUUAAAAAAAUAUAAUAUAGGUAAGGUAAUAUAGAGGAAUUAGGCAAAUGUUUCUUUGCCUGUUUAUCAAAAACAUGUUUAUUUGGAGUUAUAAAUGAUUUGGCCUGCCCCCUGAUUAUUAAUUAAAGGGCCGCAGUAUUAUAACUGUGCAAAGGUAGCAUAAUCAUUAGGUUUUUAAUUAGAAUCUUGUAUGAAUGGUCGGACAAAAGAGAAGCUCUCUUUAUAUUAAAUUUGAAUUUAACUUUUAAGUGAAAAGGCUUAAAUAUACUAAAGGGACGAUAAGACCCUAUAAAACUUUACAUUAUAAUUACAUUUUAGUAAAUUUAUAAAUAAAGAUUUAGUUUAAUUAUUUGUUAGGCUGGGGAGGCAUAAAUGAAUAUUAUUUAAACUGUUUAAAUAGUUAUACAUUAAUUGGUGGGUAAGAAUAAAAGAUCCUUUAUUAAGAUUAAUAAAUUAAGUUACUUUAGGGAUAACAGCGUAAUUUCUUUCUAGAGUUCUUAUCGAAAAAGAAGAUUGCGACCUCGAUGUUGAAUUAAAAUAUUCUAUAUAGUGAAGAGGUUAUAUAAGAAGGUCUGUUCGACCUUUAAAUUUUUACAUGAUUUGAGUUCAGACCGGUGUGAGCCAGGUUGGUUUCUAUCUUUUAGGAAAAGAUAAUUAUUUUAGUACGAAAGGAGUAAGUAAUUGAAAUAAUUUUAAAGGUUU